rnacentral:rRNA from 1 species
AACGUAGGUACCGAGCGUUAUCCGGAUUUACUGGGCGUAAAGCGUGCGCAGGCGGUUGUGCAAGACAGAUGUGAAAUCCCCGGGCUCAACCUGGGAAUUGCAUUUGUGACUGCACGGCUAGAGUGUGUCAGAGGGGGGGUAGAAUUCCACGUGUAGCAGUGAAAUGCGUAGAGAUGUGGAGGAAUACCGAUGGCGAAGGCAGCCCCCUGGGCUGACACUGACGCUCAGGCACGAAAGCGUGGGGAGCAAACAGG